UACGGAGGGGGCUAGCGUUGUUCGGAAUUACUGGGCGUAAAGCGCACGUAGGCGGAUCAGCAAGUUAGGGGUGAAAUCCCGGGGCUCAACCCCGGAACUGCCUUUAAAACUGUUGGUCUGGAGGUCGAGAGAGGUGAGUGGAAUUCCGAGUGUAGAGGUGAAAUUCGUAGAUAUUCGGAGGAACACCAGUGGCGAAGGCGGCUCACUGGCUCGAACCUGACGCUGAGGUGCGAAAGCGUGGGGAGCAAACAGG
rnacentral:rRNA from 1 species